UUUUUUGUUUUGGAGCUUUUCAGGGACCAGUUAAACUCGGUUCACGUGUAAUGGGCCUCAGGUCAGAAGGGCCUGGUGAACACAGUCCUGGCAGCCUCCUGGGCCCCCGAGGAAGGGCCAUUUCCUCCUGUGGAUGCAAGACAGCGCAGUCCCAUUUCCUCCCCAGCUCUGCAGGAAGAGAAGAGGAGAAAGAAAGGAUGGACGGACGGACACAGCGUCUCACACCCACACGGCCCUCUUCCAAGGAUCCCACCCGGGACACGUUACACGCAGCUGUUACGUCUCCUCUUGGCUGGGAGUUUCUCAGAUUUCUCCGGUUUUUGAUGACCUUGACCAUUUUGAAGGGUGCUGGUAGGUAUUCUAUAAAAUGUCCCUGAUGUUUGGUUGACGCUCGUAUUGGGGUGACGGAUGUGGGAGGAAGCUCACAGACGUGAAGGUCUUCUCGUCCUGUCUGGGGCUGUGCGGGCAACGGGACUGUCACAGACCACGUGAGCCUUGGCCCCGGCGGGUGUGUGGUGCCCACUGUGGCCAAGGUUCUACUCUGCAGACUAAAGGGAUGUGUAGUUACGUCCCCGCUUCUUGAGGGGCAUUUACCUGAAUUCUUUGGAAUUCUCCACACAGGGGAUUGGUCUUUCGUACCCAUUUCUCUGAUUUCCGUUAUUGACAACCGUGUAGACUCAUGCAUAUUUAUAGUAUACACCGGGAUCAUAAUCCAGGGCUAGCUUGUGAGUCAGACUCUGCCACUCGGGGCGACUGGGAGCACUUCCGGGGGCUCCCGUGUCCUUUGCCGUGCCGCCAUUUUGGUUUUGGAGCACUUCCUCACCUUCCUGCCGCGACACUCUCCCCGGCUCGUCCGCAGCCCUUGCCUCAGCAGGCCCAGCAACAAGCUCUCGUUAACAAGAAGCCUGCUUGCUUCUACUGGACAAAGAAAGGCGUCAGAGACCAAAGUCUGAGGGUGGGACACGCCUGCUGCUGGGGGAGUUGUUGUCCUAGGGCUUCCAGGGCCCCGAACAGAGAGCUAAGGAGCCGUGUAUGUGCACUUGCCCACGAUGCACACUGAUCCAGAGCUACUCCUUGAACACCGAGC